UUCAGCCGCCCUUUGGGGCGUUUCCUCCCUGACUUGGCCGUGCGGAAUUUUCGCACGGCCUUUUUUCGCAAUCCA
rnacentral:sRNA from 1 species